rnacentral:rRNA from 1 species
AUGGCGAGUUGCGAGGCGAGCGGUAGGAGGGUUGUAACCAGCAUGGUGACCUGUUGCAACCGGUGUGAUGUCGUGGUGGAAUCGGCCAUCAUUGAUGCUGGAACCAACCAUCGUCGGUGCAACAACCGACGGCCACCUGUGGAGAAAGACACCUCAACGCACACAAAGUCACCAAAUAUAGCACAAGUUUUCCUUGGAGGUUCUUAUCUAGGAGUAGAAACUAGUGAGCGACUAGAGAUGUCACUCUUAUCAUCACCACCACCACCAUUGUUGGUUACACCAUAUAGGUCAACAGGAGGCGGUGAUUCGGCCGUUUCAAUCGAUCCUUACGUACCAUUGAUCGUGACUUUGAUCAUCAUUGCAGCCCUCAUGGUUGCCUCUUUGGUUUUUGCAAAUUUAUGUGUUAAGCGUUGGGCAUUCUUCAACAGUUCAUAUGCUACACAGUCGUUCGUGAAGCAAGAAUGUGGCAUGUGCACUCGUGAGGGCACCAUUGAUGUUGCUUAUCCUGUGAAGAAGAGUAAUGUGGAGAAUGUGGCUUCAGAGGAGUUGGUGGAGUCAGAUCCACCACAAAACGAAGAGGAUGACGAGGAUGGUUCUUCCGGAGAAGGUUUUUAA